rnacentral:piRNA from 1 species
UGUCACUUAAACAUACGAGACUGGCAAA